CUCUGUUUCCUAGUGAAGUUCAGUGUGGAGUUCAGUUCAUGCAUCCUGCUAAUUCCUAUCCUUAGCCUGUUACCUGUUACAUCAGAUGACUUUUCAUACUCUCAGAUGUUGUUAAAUCAGAAGCAGAGCACUGAGUAUGUAGAGAGGAAGAUGGGAAGUACUAUUAAGUUUAGUAGAUCCAAUUUAUUGGCUCUGCUUCAAGUAAUGGUGUUUUUUCUCUGUCGUUUUCAAAGUGAAGACUGUGCCUUUGACAUUAGGAAGCUGUUUCUUUUCAUAAGAGUUCCUUAGUUUCUCUCCCUGUAAAACAGUAAGCGGGACACACUUCGUAGGAUUCCUUCCGGUAGCCUUAUAGCACAGUAGGGAAUGGCACAAUUUGGUACUGGAAUGGCCACCUUCAGGUCCUCUCUCGGGAAUCCUGUCUUUCUGCAGUCUUCUCCUUCCCCAGCUUCCAGCCCUUUUGUCUUUCAAGUAACUGAAAUCUGACCACCUUGACAGUAUAGGUGGAAGUUUCCCCAAGCCUGACUCUGAAGCUGCACCUCUCCCCUAAUGUAGGACUUUCUCCUCGUUCCUCUUCACUAGCGCUCCAAAUAAUACUAAGUACUGAAUAUGACAUACAAGUGAGUCUAUCGUUACUAGUAUUUGUGAUAUGAAAUAAAUGUAUUUUAUGCAA